rnacentral:rRNA from 1 species
GGUUAAGCGACUAAGCGUACACGGUGGAUGCCCUGGCAGUCAGAGGCGAUGAAGGGCGUGCUAAUCUGCGAUAAGCGCCGGUAAGGUGAUAUGAACCGUUAUAACCGGCGAUUUCCGAAUGGGGAAACCCAGUGUGAUUCGUCACACUAUCAUUAACUGAAUCCAUAGGUUAAUGAGGCGAACCGGGGGAACUGAAACAUCUAAGUACCCCGAGGAAAAGAAAUCAACCGAGAUUCCCCCA